UACGUAGGGACCAAGCGUUGUCCGGAAUCAUUGGGCGUAAAGAGCGUGUAGGCGGCUUGUUAAGUCUUGCGUGAAAUCUCGGGGCUCAACCCCGAGCGGUCGUGAGAAACUGGCAGGCUAGAGUGCGGGAGAGGAGAGUGGAAUUCCUGGUGUAGUGGUGAAAUGCGUAGAUAUCUGGAGGAACACCGGUGGCGAAGGCGGCAUCCUGGACCGAGAUUGACGCUGAGGCGCGAAAGCCAGGGGAGCAAACGGG
rnacentral:rRNA from 1 species